rnacentral:lncRNA from 1 species
AGUAUGCUUGGUAAAAGUCAUCGCCAUUCUCUAAUCUUGAGUACCCAGGGACACGAUACACUGCGGAAGGCUGCAGGGACCUCUGCCCAGGAAAGCCAGGCUUGCAUGAAGGAAAUGAUUUCCUAUGAUUCUGCUUACUGCUUAAAAAAAUUAAUCAAGUUUUCUGCCUGACAAGAGCCAGAAAAACUUCAUCUCUUUUACAAGAAACAUUGAGAUUCCUGUAAAAUUAAGAAAUCACACAAUUUGAUGGUCUACAUUAUCUAAAGCAAAUGAGACUUCUAUUUGGAACAAAGACUACCUUGUUGGGAAAUGAGUCUGCAAGUUAAAGUGUUUUCUGGAUCCAGUAUCUGCCGGAGGAGCCCCACCUUCUGCUACUAUUAUGUUCUUCAGAUGAGUAGAAGAGAGUGGGGAGGGAGAGAGCAGGAAGAAGAAAGGAAGAAUAAUGUCUUGAAAUUGGUAAAAGCGUUUUUGUUUGCACAUCCUGCAUUAUUAAUAUUUCUUGUUUAGCAUAAUUAGCUACCCUCUCAAGCUUACACACAACCUGCAGUGUUUAUGCCUUCCGAUGAUAGCUAAACCAUCAGCAAAGCAGUCCAGGUCCCUGAAGGCUGAAUGCAGGUGGUUCUGAAGGCUGCAGGAUGCAUUCAAAAAGCAGGAUACAUAAGCUUUAAUUGUUGCUAAAAAUACAUUCACUAGAAGAAUCGGACUCCUUCUAUCUGUCUGGAGUGGAUAAAAGCCAACUAUGGAUUCAGUAGUCUAAAGAAAGUCGCAGAAGAACAAAGAAAAGGUAGACAAAUGGGCCCAAAUGAACUUCAUUAAUGAGAAAAAAAGAUAACUAAUAUAAGACAAUACCACUUCUCUUUAUUCAAAUAAUUGGCAGUCAAUUUUACUUGGACAAUAACUAUGGCCUCAAAUGUGAUUUCAGGCUCAACAAAGCAGUGCAAUUUAAGGUCUAUCAUGCCUUGUUGUCAUGCUUCACGCAGCCUGGAAUAAGUAAUUCAAUACCCCUUACAGGAUCACCAGCUAUUAAACCAGGAUAAGAGCUUAGAGGCAGAAUUACACAUUCUAUGAUAUAUUAUUAUUAUAUAAUGUAUUAUUUGUAUUCUAUUAUUACAUGUAUACUUCAGUGGCCUGAGUUAAUAUUUUUCCACCAGCCACUAAUUCCAUACUCAAGAGUUAUUCAUGAAAGAAAAAAA